CCUACGGGAGGCAGCAGUGGGGAAUCUUGGACAAUGGGGGGAACCCUGAUCCAGCGACGCCGCGUGAGUGAAGAAGUAUUUCGGUAUGUAAAGCUCUAUCAGCAGGGAAGAAAAUGACGGUACCUGACUAAGAAGCCCCGGCUAACUACGGGCCAGCAGCCGCGGUAAUACGUAGGGGGCAAGCGUUAACCGGAUAUAUGGGGUUAAAAGGGUGCGCAGGCGGGCUGUUAAGUCAGGGGUAAAAGCCCGGGGCUCAACCCCGGCCCGCCGUUGAACUGGCAGUCUCGAGUUGGAGAGAAGUAUGCGGAAUGGGCGGUGUAGCGGUGAAAUGCAUAGAUAUCGCGCAGAACUCCGAUUGCGAAGGCAGCAUGCCGGCUCCACACUGACGCUGAGGCACGAAAGCGUGGGUAUCGAACAGGAUUAGAUACCCCAGUAGUC
rnacentral:rRNA from 1 species